rnacentral:lncRNA from 1 species
AUAUCUUUUAAGCAUGUACAAUACAAAAAACAUUAAAUUUGAAUAUUCAAUAAUUCAGGGUUGACAAACUAUUCAAUUGUAAGACAAUAAUAAUCAAGAAGGGUAAAGUAGCAAAAAACUUGCAAAAACAAUAGAUAUUAGCAAAUGGAAAUCAAAUUAGAGUCCUUAGCAGCACUUUAUAUCACUAAAUAUUAACACAAAAAAAUGAGGAGUAUGUGUCAGUCGGUCAUACAAAAAACAAGAAAACAAAACAAAACAAAAUCAAACGGAAAAUAAAAACAGAAAACAUAACUUAAAAUAGAAGACAUGUAUCUAAUUGAGAGGCGGAUCAUAACAAAGAGAUAAUAAAGCGACCUAGGCAUUGAAAAAAAACACAACAAAAAAUGCAAACAAACAGUUUACAAAACAUAACAUUAAGUCCUGAUAUGACUGAUCAAGAAAAAAACCUCCGAAAACCGUGGCAUUCUUCCUGUUGAUUAUGUAAGUACAAAAUAAACUGUGGUAAGUCUUAUUCGGUGAAAUAAGAUUCGUUCAAGGAAUAGUGGUCGAUAUUGUAGACAC